rnacentral:rRNA from 1 species
AUUGAACGCUGGCGGCAGGCCUAACACAUGCAAGUCGAGCGGAUGAAGGGAGCUUGCUCCUGGAUUCAGCGGCGGACGGGUGAGUAAUGCCUAGGAAUCUGCCUGGUAGUGGGGGAUAACGUCCGGAAACGGGCGCUAAUACCGCAUACGUCCUGAGGGAGAAAGUGGGGGAUCCUCGGACCUCACGCUAUCAGAUGAGCCUAGGUCGGAUUAGCUAGUUGGUGGGGUAAAGGCCUACCAAGGCGACGAUCCGUAACUGGUCUGAGAGGAUGAUCAGUCACACUGGAACUGAGACACGGUCCAGACUCCUACGGGAGGCAGCAGUGGGGAAUAUUGGACAAUGGGCGAAAGCCUGACCCAGCCAUGCCGCGUGUGUGAAGAAGGUCUUCGGAUUGUAAAGCACUUUAAGUUGGGAGGAAGGGCAGUAAGUUAAUACCUUGCUGUUUUGACGUUACCAACAGAAUAAGCACCGGCUAACUUCGUG